rnacentral:misc_RNA from 1 species
GAUGAAGAACGUAGCGAAAUGCGAUAAGUAGUGUGAAUUGCAGAAUUCCGUGAAUCAUCGAGUCUUUGAACGCACAUUGCGCCCCCUGGUAUUCCGGGGGGCAUGCCUGUCCGAGCGUCAUUGCAACCCUCAAGCACGGCUUGUCUAAUGGGCGGUUCGUCUGCGGCCAUCCGCCGGAGACGCCCCCGAAAUGCAGUGGGGAUGUUCGCUAAAUCGCAGCGUCAGGAAUGGAAAUAAACAAUGCUGACGGCUCGAUGUCGAACGUCCACCUAAGGCGUGCCGCCCCCCCGGGGUGUGCCGCCCAACCUCUCUCGGUUGACCUCGGAUCAGGUAGGGAUACCCGCUGAACUUAAGCAUAUCAAUAAGCGGAGGA